UUAGCGGCGGACGGGUGAGUAACACGUGGGCAACCUGCCCCUUAGACUGGGAUAACUCCGGGAAACCGGAGCUAAUACCGGAUAAUCCCUUUCUCCACCUGGAGAGAGGGUGAAAGAUGGCUUCGGCUAUCACUAGGGGAUGGGCCCGCGGCGCAUUAGCUAGUUGGUAAGGUAACGGCUUACCAAGGCAACGAUGCGUAGCCGACCUGAGAGGGUGAUCGGCCACACUGGGACUGAGACACGGCCCAGACUCCUACGGGAGGCAGCAGUAGGGAAUCUUCCGCAAUGGACGAAAGUCUGACGGAGCAACGCCGCGUGAGUGAGGAAGGCCUUCGGGUCGUAAAGCUCUGUUGUGAGGGAAGAAGCGGUACCGUUCGAAUAGGGCGGUACCUUGACGGUACCUCACCAGAAAGCCACGGCUAACUACGUGCCAGCAGCCGCGGUAAUACGUAGGUGGCAAGCGUUGUCCGGAAUUAUUGGGCGUAAAGCGCGCGCAGGCGGCUUCUUAAGUCUGAUGUGAAAUCUCGGGGCUCAACCCCGAGCGGCCAUUGGAAACUGGGGAGCUUGAGUGCAGAAGAGGAGAGUGGAAUUCCACGUGUAGCGGUGAAAUGCGUAGAGAUGUGGAGGAACACCAGUGGCGAAGGCGACUCU
rnacentral:rRNA from 2 species